UGAUUGUAUGGUGCUUGCACCUGAUUGACGAUGGAUCACCAGUGAGUGGCGGACGGGUGAGUAACACGUAGGUAACCUGCCCCGGAGCGGGGGAUAACAUUUGGAAACAGAUGCUAAUACCGCAUAACAACAAAAGCCACAUGGCUUUUGUUUGAAAGAUGGCUUUGGCUAUCACUCUGGGAUGGACCUGCGGUGCAUUAGCUAGUUGGUAAGGUAACGGCUUACCAAGGCGAUGAUGCAUAGCCGAGUUGAGAGACUGAUCGGCCACAAUGGAACUGAGACACGGUCCAUACUCCUACGGGAGGCAGCAGUAGGGAAUCUUCCACAAUGGGCGCAAGCCUGAUGGAGCAACACCGCGUGAGUGAAGAAGGGUUUCGGCUCGUAAAGCUCUGUUGUUGGAGAAGAACGUGCGUGAGAGUAACUGUUCACGCAGUGACGGUAUCCAACCAGAAAGUCACGGCUAACUACGUGCCAGCAGCCGCGGUAAUACGUAGGUGGCAAGCGUUAUCCGGAUUUAUUGGGCGUAAAGCGAGCGCAGGCGGUUGCUUAGGUCUGAUGUGAAAGCCUUCGGCUUAACCGAAGAAGUGCAUCGGAAACCGGGCGACUUGAGUGCAGAAGAGGACAGUGGAACUCCAUGUGUAGCGGUGGAAUGCGUAGAUAUAUGGAAGAACACCAGUGGCGAAGGCGGCUGUCUGGUCUGCAACUGACGCUGAGGCUCGAAAGCAUGGGUAGCGAACAGGAUUAGAUACCCUGGUAGUCCAUGCCGUAAACGAUGAGUGCUAGGUGUUGGAGGGUUUCCGCCCUUCAGUGCCGGAGCUAACGCAUUAAGCACUCCGCCUGGGGAGUACGACCGCAAGGUUGAAACUCAAAGGAAUUGACGGGGGCCCGCACAAGCGGUGGAGCAUGUGGUUUAAUUCGAAGCUACGCGAAGAACCUUACCAGGUCUUGACAUCUUGCGCUAACCUUAGAGAUAAGGCGUUCCCUUCGGGGACGCAAUGACAGGUGGUGCAUGGUCGUCGUCAGCUCGUGUCGUGAGAUGUUGGGUUAAGUCCCGCAACGAGCGCAACCCUUGUUACUAGUUGCCAGCAUUAAGUUGGGCACUCUAGUGAGACUGCCGGUGACAAACCGGAGGAAGGUGGGGACGACGUCAGAUCAUCAUGCCCCUUAUGACCUGGGCUACACACGUGCUACAAUGGACGGUACAACGAGUCGCAAGCUCGCGAGAGUAAGCUAAUCUCUUAAAGCCGUUCUCAGUUCGGACUGUAGGCUGCAACUCGCCUACACGAAGUCGGAAUCGCUAGUAAUCGCGGAUCAGCAUGCCGCGGUGAAUACGUUCCCGGGCCUUGUACACACCGCCCGUCACACCAUGGGAGUUUGUA
rnacentral:rRNA from 1 species